rnacentral:rRNA from 1 species
GACGUCAAAUCAUCAUGCCCUUAUGACUUGGGCAACACACGUGCUACAAUGGGUUUUACAAAGUGAAGCGAGCAGGCGACUGUAAGCAAAGCACAAAAGGAACCCUCAGUUCGGAUUGCAGCCUGCAACUCGGCUGCAUGAAGCUGGAAUCGCUAGUAAUCGCGAAUCAGCAUGUCGCGGUGAAUACGUUCUCGGGCCUU